rnacentral:rRNA from 2 species
GCAGUCGAACGAACUCUGGUAUUGAUUGGUGCUUGCAUCAUGAUUUACAUUUGAGUGAGUGGCGAACUGGUGAGUAACACGUGGGAAACCUGCCCAGAAGCGGGGGAUAACACCUGGAAACAGAUGCUAAUACCGCAUAACAACUUGGACCGCAUGGUCCGAGUUUGAAAGAUGGCUUCGGCUAUCACUUUUGGAUGGUCCCGCGGCGUAUUAGCUAGAUGGUGGGGUAACGGCUCACCAUGGCAAUGAUACGUAGCCGACCUGAGAGGGUAAUCGGCCACAUUGGGACUGAGACACGGCCCAAACUCCUACGGGAGGCAGCAGUAGGGAAUCUUCCACAAUGGACGAAAGUCUGAUGGAGCAACGCCGCGUGAGUGAAGAAGGGUUUCGGCUCGUAAAACUCUGUUGUUAAAGAAGAACAUAUCUGAGAGUAACUGUUCAGGUAUUGACGGUAUUUAACCAGAAAGCCACGGCUAACUACGUGCCAGCAGCCGCGGUAAUACGUAGGUGGCAAGCGUUGUCCGGAUUUAUUGGGCGUAAAGCGAGCGCAGGCGGUUUUUUAAGUCUGAUGUGAAAGCCUUCGGCUCAACCGAAGAAGUGCAUCGGAAACUGGGAAACUUGAGUGCAGAAGAGGACAGUGGAACUCCAUGUGUAGCGGUGAAAUGCGUAGAUAUAUGGAAGAACACCAGUGGCGAAGGCGGCUGUCUGGUCUGUAACUGACGCUGAGGCUCGAAAGUAUGGGUAGCAAACAGGAUUAGAUACCCUGGUAGUCCAUACCGUAAACGAUGAAUGCUAAGUGUUGGAGGGUUUCCGCCCUUCAGUGCUGCAGCUAACGCAUUAAGCAUUCCGCCUGGGGAGUACGGCCGCAAGGCUGAAACUCAAAGGAAUUGACGGGGGCCCGCACAAGCGGUGGAGCAUGUGGUUUAAUUCGAAGCUACGCGAAGAACCUUACCAGGUCUUGACAUACUAUGCAAAUCUAAGAGAUUAGACGUUCCCUUCGGGGACAUGGAUACAGGUGGUGCAUGGUUGUCGUCAGCUCGUGUCGUGAGAUGUUGGGUUAAGUCCCGCAACGAGCGCAACCCUUAUUAUCAGUUGCCAGCAUUAAGUUGGGCACUCUGGUGAGACUGCCGGUGACAAACCGGAGGAAGGUGGGGAUGACGUCAAAUCAUCAUGCCCCUUAUG